ACGGCGUUUAUACUAGCGGAGGUAUUGGAGAAGAGUCAACGGGUCGACGUAUGGGCCUUAACGGCGCAACGAGGCCCAUGUUAUCUUCUGGCACGCUUCGAUGUAGGUUACUCCGAAGAGCUUGGCGCCCCGUUCUUGUAACUAUUCCUGAACAAUAAAGCUAAUAAAAGAUUUGACAAUUUUUUUCCGAUUGAUUAAAUUUGCUUAAUAAGUUACUUAUGAAUUUUAGUGAAUCCCUAUGUUGUUCUUGAUUUCGGUUGUUUUUUUUGGUGGUGAAUUUCUUUGGUAUAGAUAUGUAGGUGCAAGUUUAAUUUUAGUGAAAAUUGCAAGAAUUGCUUUUUUUUUUUGUGAGUAAUUGAGUUUUUAUUCAAAAAACAAAAGCAAAAUCCAAUCUCAGAAUGUUUUAGAUCGGACAUGACGAAGGCCGACCGUUUUAUUAGGAUGGUGAUUGGCUGAAACCAAACCAGUUCGGAAAAGACUUAUGAUUUGAAAUUAACAAAAAAAAAUACAUGCCAUAGUUUUCUGGUGAUGCCUUAAAACUCAGAGAAAACAAACCUACACAGUGUAACAGAGUGAUGCACUUCUCUCGCCGAAAAGCUUCUUUCUCGUGACGUCGCCGG
rnacentral:lncRNA from 1 species